CGGGACGGGUGAGUAAUGUCUGGGAAACUGCCCGAUGGAGGGGGAUAACUACUGGAAACGGUAGCUAAUACCGCAUAACGUCGCAAGACCAAAGAGGGGGACCUUCGGGCCUCUUGCCAUCGGAUGUGCCCAGAUGGGAUUAGCUAGUAGGUGGGGAUAGGCUCACCUAGGCGACGAUCCCUAGCUGGUCUGAGAGGAUGACCAGCCACACUGGAACUGAGACACGGUCCAG
rnacentral:rRNA from 1 species